AAACAAUAAGAACAAGUAGUCUGAUGUCCUGUAAUCAUUAUGAAGCUAUAAUUUGAAAUACAAUAACACAUUAUGUUUUUGUACAAAGUAUCAACAUCGGAUCGGUAACGUCCAUACCGCCCUGAAUUUGACUUGGUGUCUGAUCAGAAAGGAAAUCGGUGGUAUUGCACAUUACAAUCUCAGAGGAGAUGCCGCCUGCUGGUCAAGGGAUUUCUGCACAGGCAGACCCAUCCAUGUUUUGUAUUUACAGUCUGUGGUUAUACUGCAUCUGUUAUUUUCUAUUGUUAACUAUCAUAAUUGCUGAUGUACACAAGCGAAAGAUACCCUGCUGGAUCCCGGGAGGAGACACAAAUCCCUUGGCGGGUUGCAUCUGGCAUAAAAAAAUCUGCCAAAUCAAAUAUGCGGCGCUACCUGCUGUGUUGAUCCCUUGUGAAUAACGGAAAAACUGAAAGUAGCUUUCUUUAUUUUAGAGUGGAGAAAAGCAAACAAGCACAUUUUCUCAUGUACUGAACUUAAGCACAAUUUUUGAAACCUUUACUUGAGAAUUAAAAAUUUUGUACUUCUUUACGGUAGAAUGCUGGACUCGCUCUAAAUGGCCUUUUCUCUCUAUCUACAAUGUUUAGUUAUUAGUUACAAAUUACAGAUCUUAUAUUUGAGUGAAUAAUUAUUUCAUGUCACACUGAUAGUGAAUUUAAAACCUUUAUUUUGACAGAUCAGCAUCAGUUAUUACUUUCUAGCAUCCAUCAGACUGAAUACAUCCCAACACUAAGGAGUCUGAUUUUCCUGCUUCAUUGCGCAAAAACUGAAGGCAGAGCUGAUGUUUGUUGUACUGCAUUAGCGUCUGUGCUUUGAUUUUUAAUCCUGAUUAAACUAAGCUCACACCAAUAAAAUAAACAUGAAAACCUCUGUGGCGUGCAUUUUAAAUAAAUGAUCUUUAACAAUGUAUAUCACAAAUAAUUUAUAGUUAAAGAGAUUUUCAUUCAUACAGUCCAUUAGGUUGCAGUCAAUUCUGCCCCCUGCUGGAAAAACACGCAAGUACAAGAAAGAUGCUGUUUAAGCUCCUUUACUGGGCGUCUUGGACAGUGUUGUGUCCAGCCCAGAUGUCUAUACAAAUCUGUGAGGGUUACUUCAAUAAAUCCAUUACUGUAAGCAGGCCUCAGUAAAAAUAUUCAGCAAAGCCAUCUUUGCAUAUUUGGACAUGUGCAGCGUCCACCUGUGGAGACCUGCUCUGUAUUACAGUCUGCUGCAGAGGCACUGAGGUUCAGGCUGCUGCCCCCUUCAGCCGCUCCCUCCUUGCUGCUUCUUCUCGGUCAGAUCAUCGAUCUGCUUCUGCCGCCUCUCCAGGACCUCCAACCUCUUGGCAUCGUUACGCGCUCGCUCCUGAGCCCUGAGUUCAACGACGUCCUCAAAAAACCUGUGUCU
ensembl:lncRNA